AGGGUGACUUUGUGGCUUAUAUCCAUCGGUCAUGAAUAUGUGAAGUGCCCAAGCAGAGAAGAAAUUGCCCAAAAUAUGGCUACAAUGCAGGCAAAAACAAAGAUGCCAGGAAUUUUGGGAUGUAUUGACGGAUCACAUAUAAGAAUCAAGGCCCCGGUUUCAAACAAAGAAGAUUAUUUCAACAGAAAGCAUAGCUACAGCAUUCUACUGCAAGGUGUUGUUAAUGCAAGGAAAAAAUUUAUAAAUGCUUAAAAAAAAAACAAUAACUAUCAGCCCUAUUACGGUUGUCAAUUAUCAAUACGCUAGUUGACAUUUUUCAAGGAAAUUGAUGAAUUGGUAUUAUCGUUGUCAGCAAUCAAAAUUUUUGAUAAACUGUGAACGCUCUUCAGAAAUUAGAUUAAAUUAACACUCUUGGUAUUAUGGUUGUCAAAAUAUUUGUUAAUUAUCAAAGUCCCCUAUUACACGUUGACUCAUGACUCACGACUCACUUUUGACUUUUCUUUUACAUGUUGACUCGUGUCCCAUGCCUCAAAUUUGACAAUUAUUGUUUGUUUAGUUUUUGAAGUUGAGUAAAAUUUAUAAAACGAAAUAAAUAGGAUUUUGGAAAUGGAUUCCGAAAAUUUGUUAAAGCUGUUUAAGUUACACACUUUUCUGGUUUUCAAACAAAUUGGAUGUUGUUUAUCCCAGCAUCAAGAAAAUCGAAUGAAAAAGAACAGCAUAAAACGAAUAUGAGAAAAAAGAAACGUCAAAAUGAGUCUACUAAAAAUUUGCCCGAGACUCACCGGAAAUUUUUUUUUGCAUCUCAUUUUCUCAUAGUUGCUUUCUUUUUCGCACUCAUGUGAGUCGUGAGGCAUCGUGUAAUAGCAGACAAAUUUUCAGUCAAUCACAAAUUCCUUGUUGAUAAAAUAUUUUACGGAUCGCGAAAGCCAAAAGCAAGUCUACUAUUGAACUAUUUUUCGGCGAAAAUGAAAUUGAAGAAGAAAAUACUUUGGAGCAAGCAAAGAUUCGAAGAAAACUACGCGAUGCUUCAAAUCCGAUGGAUUUGGCUGAACAUAUAUUCAUUCACAACUUUCGAAAAAAAGCCUUCCUUAAUGUAUUUUUAGAUAUCAACGACAAGUUAAAACCAACGAAAAGACAACAAUCCAUCCCAAACAUACUAAAAUUUACAGCUGUCUUAAGAUUCCUUGCGCAAGGAAGCUACCAGUUGAGUGUUGGGAACGAUUUUAACAUUGGUAUGGCGCAACCAACCAACAAACUACUUACAUUUUUAAUCCAAAUCAACCAAAAUUCGUCACACGAAACAAAAGCCAGUCCUAGUCCGUUAAAAAAUUGUAAAUGAAAUUGAAACGUCAAAAGUAAAUAGGCACUAAUCACAAUAGAAUUUUGAUCUUUGUUCACAAUGGAUCAAAAAAUGAUCAACUCGCGUUCAUAAUACCAAUUUAUCAAUUAAUUGACAAAAUGUUUUAAUUGUCAAUUAAUUGAUCUUUGACAACCGUAAUAAGGCUGUAUACCUCUUUAAUUAAAACUAUAGGAACAUACAUACAAAAAAUAUCUCAUUUCAUUUCAUGUUUAAGAACGAAACCAUCACAAAUCCAUUUCUCAUUCAACACAAAAUACAAAUCAAAAGUAAUUCAAAAAAAUAAACAAAUUAAUUCAAAAACUA